CGGGUGCACGGGGCGCAUCGCGCUUGACGUGCGGAAACACAAACUCCAACGGCCUGGGGGUCAAGGGGUCGCAGGUUCAAAUCCUGUCAGCCCGACCA
rnacentral:tRNA from 1 species